rnacentral:tRNA from 1 species
GGGCGUGUAGCUCAGCUUGGAUAGAGCAUCUGCCUUCUAAGCAGGGGGUCGCGCGUUCGAAUCGCGUCACGCCCA